rnacentral:rRNA from 2 species
UGGGGAAUCUUGCACAAUGCGCGAAAGCGUGAUGCAGCAACGCCGCGUGCGGGAAGAAGGCCUUAGGGUUGUAAACCGCUUUCAGUUGGGACGAGGCCUCGAUGGUUAAGAGCUGUUUGGGGUGACGGUACCUUCAGAAGAAGCGCCGGCUAACUACGUGCCAGCAGCCGCGGUAAUACGUAGGGCGCGAGCGUUGUCCGGAAUCAUUGGGCGUAAAGCGCGUGUAGGCGGCCUAGUAAGUCUGCUGUGAAAGUCCAGGGCUCAACCCUGGAAUGUCGGCGGAUACUGCUGGGCUGGAGUACGGGAGGGGCGAGUGGAAUUCCUGGUGUAGCGGUGGAAUGCGCAGAUAUCAGGAGGAACACCUAUGGCGAAGGCAGCUCGCUGGAACGUUACUGACGCUGAGACGCGAAAGCGUGGGGAGCAAACAGG